CCCUGAGCAGUGCAAGUGUUUAACGCGCUUGGCUGCUAACCAAGAGGUUGGUGGUUAGAGUCCACCCAGAGGCA
rnacentral:tRNA from 1 species